rnacentral:lncRNA from 1 species
GAGUUCUUGCUCUAACAAAAGAGUUGUACAACAUAUUCUAUGUUAGAAUAUUCAAGCAGCUGUCAUUUGGUAUAUAUGUAUGCAUCAAAUAAUUGUAUUUUCCCGCUAUUUUCAAAGACCUUAAAGUUACGAUUUUAUACUAUAAGAUAAGAUAAGAUGACUUCAAUGCAAUGAAAUAAAACAGCAAAUAAUUUUAUUUAUAGAUGUCUUCUUAUCUUGUAAAUUUGAAGGUAUCUCCAUGAUCGACAUUCCGGGCAUAUCACACUUUUUAUCUUCCAACCCAACCAUCUAAAAUUAUUCCCUUAAUAGUUUAGUUGAAAGUUAAUUUUUUCUUACUUUAUAUUAAAAAAAAAAUAUUAUCCAUUCAAAUUUUUAGAUGAUGACAUAUUUGAAAAGUGCAUCAUAUCAUUUCAAUUAGGUUACCCUCUCCACAUGAAUUGUUAUUUUCGAGACGACAAUUAAACUAAACUAAUCCUCCUC